rnacentral:lncRNA from 11 species
CAGGAAAUACAUGGAUAUUGGUCAAAUGUGUGGAUUUUGGCAGCUGUAGUGUUGCAAGUGGCAGAAAGGGAAAAGGCAGCCUUUGCACAGUGUUUGUUUUUUCUUGUUUGUUGUGAUGUCCCUUUGUGAAGAUACAACUCGGAGAACCGCUUCUUGUCAUAUAUGAAGCAGGAGGGAUAUGUGUUUUCCUGUUGGCCUGGCAGGAAAGAGCAACAUUAAAGGGACAAAAAGAAAAUCCUGGCAUCUGCAACUCAUAGUACUCCUAACCAUUGAUCAUAAUAGCUGUGGAUACCAGGACUUGAAGCCCAACAACAUCUGGAAAGCCACAUGAGCCUGACUGAAAGAGCUGGGGAUCAUAACUUGCCAUUAAAGAGGCAGACAGGCCACUAGUCUGUAAUUUCAUUGAUUUAGUUAUGUCAUUGUCAGGCUCAUUGCAAAUCCUUGCAUUAAAAAAAGUUGUGAUCUUCACAUCCAAUAU